UUGCGGACCAGGAGGGCGGACGGGUGAGGUGCUGGCUGGUCGAGACUCCGAGGCCCUGCUCUGGGUGCCUCUCAGCCUGCCUCUUUCUCAGGUUUGCGAGAGGGGGUGAAGGUCCGCCUAGUUCUUGCCUCACAGGACAUGGAUACUGCUGUCACUGAGGGAUGCCGGUUUCAACCCUCAGGUGACACCUGAGCCCUCCAGGAUUACUUCAAGGCUUACCUGGCUGAGACGCUGCCCUGUGGGAAAUGCCUGGCCGGUGGGGCUGAGAGGAAAGGGGAGGCCAGGAACUAAUUUGCUGGGGAAAUCGUGUGGAACCAGAAUGUUUUAUAGAAAUGCUGGGGGAUCAGCCCAUUAAAUUGGGAGGGAUUUGGCUCCUUUUACAUUUACACCACCUGAUGUUCAGGUGGUGAUUUUGUACCAGAUUUGUGUUCGGGGAGACGGCUGGUGGGGUUGGGCACGGAGGAGGCAUUCUGGGAUGGCUGCAGGCUCACCAGGGUUGUGCUGAACUACAGGUCCACACGGCAGUGCGCCUUCUCCCUUUACCAUUUGAGGGUGGGCCGAGAAUUCUAUCCUCCAUUCUAACCCUUUCUGUCAUGUUUUUUAAUAACCCCGCCCAGCUGACUUAGCCUUGGCCUUCACGCCAGCUGCUGAGGCUGUGAUUGGGCUGCUGGGGCCGCUGGAGCUUUUCGGAAAGUGAGCCAGGGCUGGGGAAGGAAGUACCUCUUCCCUCCAUGGCCCACAGGGGGCCCAGAAAGGUUGCUGACCGGGAGGCAAGGCAAGCCAGUGCCGCCCUUAUUACUCUUUACAGAGACUUGGAAUAAGCACCACUAGGGGGCAUUAUCUCUUUGACCCUUGUCUCCUGUUUCCUACUUUGUUUAGUAGUGAUAAAAGAUGGGUUUAAAAUGUAAAAUAGGAGGAAAAAAAGAUUGCUGUGAUAGUGUCUAUUUGCAUAGAUUUUAGACCUUGUUCUUCUGAAGUGACUGGUUUUCAUUUUGAAUACUUACCUGGCACAGCCAUUUAAAGCUAUUUGGCUGCCAGUGGGUUCUGCCAAGAAUCUGACUCUGGACCUCCGAAUCCUCACCAGUAAAAUGAGAGGUCACAUGAUCCCCCCCCCCCGCGGAGCAAGUUCUUUCCAACUUCUACAACUUUAAGAACACAUUUUUGUUCUGGAUAGUGAAUACCCUUACAGGAUGAGCCGGCUGGUUGGAGGCCUGGCUUUCGAGUAUCAUCUGUGACUGCAGCUUGUGUAGCCUGGCACCUCAGCUGUGCUCCCCUCCAGAACCACCGACCUGGCUUUGGGACUUCCACACCUUCUUUCCCACUAAAGAUGUCUUUUAAAAGGGCCGGUAAUGCAGCUACAUUUUAACGGAGAGGUCCAAACUACAGGUAAAAACUAGGGUUUGUACUAUGAAAAAUGUGCAGCUUUUCAGUUAUAAAACUAGUUGAACACUGGUUUAUUACAAGGUAGUUGGGAGAACGGAGGCUGUAGAAAAAUAUCCCAGCACUUGAGUUGUGUGGCGGCAUCGUCUGAGCCCGUGGCCGCUCUGGUCGUUAAAAUGGUAAUUGAGUACACGUUCCUAAAGAGAAGUCGUUUUUAACAUAAAGUCUACUACUUCCAAAUGUUAUCCAAAUAUUAAGCUUUCUCACAGUCUGUCAGUUGAUAAAUGUUGCUGAACAUUGAUUUUUAUAGCAUUUUUUCUAUGCUGUGUGUAUAAAUAUUGAGACACCAGAAUUACUGGCUUCUGAACUGGAAGUAUAGCUGGGCCUUAAAAGUAUCUCCGACAUUCCCCACCCCUAAGAUACUCUUUUUAAGCUCAAACUUUAAUUACUCGUAGAUUGCUGUUAAGAUAGCCCCAAAUGAAAACUUUUACUUUGAAGAUUGAGAGACUGUCAAGCUUCCUCUUGUAUUUUAACUGGAAAGCCACCUUCAAGAGUGUGAUUGUCACGACAGGCAGGGACAGGGGAAGGUCAGGAAGUACUGUUGGAUGAGGCCAGCGAAGUAGGAGCUUCUUUUACAUCAAAUAUAGGGGAAGCUGAAGGCUAAAUGACCCACCGUCUCACAAAAGGCACUGAGUACUAUAGUCUCAAUGAAGUGUUUUCAAACAUUUCGGUAGCUUAUUUUAAAAAACAACAGAAAACCUAUGGGCUAUGUGAGUUUUUGCCGUUCUCCAGUUCCCUUCAGCGGGCCAGCUUUCAGCCCUCCCGCCAGGCAGGCCCCAUUCACCAGCUCUGCAAGCAACUACGCCGGGCUGGGCCCUGGCUCCCGCGUGCCGUGUCUCAGUUUAAAGCCUGAUUAAGGGGGAAAAUUCAUCAGAAUAGACCUGGGCGAGGAAAAUUAGGUAUCUGUAGCUUAAAGGGCACAUGUAGCCAUAUUAAAAUCCAAUUUUUAUCUGACAUGUUUAAAUCAAUUUAUAGGAAGGAUUUACGUCAGUGGAUUUUAUUCACAUGCUAGAGAAGUAAUUUAAGAUUUGUAACUUAAUAUUCCAUAAUUUAGUCAUCAUAUUCAUGUUUAUCUUAAAAGACUGCUUGGUAGGUUUUUUUCAACUGGCACUAGAGACAUGGGAAUCUGUUUACUCACCGGGCAGUGCCCACCGUUUGCUAAAUCCGGGUGAGCAUAGGAAAUCACUACCACACGAGGAGUCAGGCCCCAGAACAAGGACCACUCUGAAUCUCUGACUAUGAUGCCUGUCUCUGGACCACAUGACAGAGCGAGUAUCUGGGAAGGCCGACAGCUCCUACUAUCAAGUUCCUUCUAGUCAGGCCAUAAACAGGUGUGUGGCAGCCAAGUUAAAGGUCCCCACCUAGUUUUGGACAUAAGGAUGAACGGUCUUCUACCUUUCUGGCCCUUGCCUGAACCUAGAGAAUAUACGGCAGUGUCCUCCUGUCAGGACCUUUUCUGUCUGGAAUCUUCCCUGGUACAGAGUGGAGAUUCUGUCUUCAUGGCCUUUCCCAGCCAGGCUCACCCAAAGGAAAAUGGAGUUAAAAUAACAGCAAAUCCAUCCUGCUGAGGGACCUUGGAACACCCACAUCCAUUUACUUUAGCAACUCUAUCAUAGACUCUCUUUAAAACAUAAGGAAAUUUUGGAUACAUGGCUACAUGUCUGUAUACAUAAUAUACAUCUAUGUACACAUACACACACUAUAUACACUGUACAUAUAUAGAUAUAAACACAUGUACAUUCAUUCAGUCAUACAAGCCUAUAAAUCUGUACACGCACAAUGCCGCUGAAGGGACCCCAGGGCUGGACAUGCGCAAGUGUGCGCUGGCUAGAGGCACACGUGGGGAUGUCCAGAACCCUGUGUACAAAAGACCCAAACCCGCUACCUCGAUUAGGGCUUGGCUUUACAAAUUUACAUCAAAGUUAAGACAUUUUCAAAGAGCCGUACAAUCUAGAGACUGGAAGUGGGAUAAAGGAAGCAUGUGGGCAUCUGCCUGGCCUGCUCCAACCUUCCAGGGUCUAAAGGGCACUGCCUCCCUACCUCCCCCCACCCCCCCGCCCCCGGGGAUAAAAGCGAAUGUCAGAAGAUGACACUUCACGGCCUACACUUAGAGAUGAAAUGUCAUCUAGAUAGCCCCACUGCACAUGAGGCCCUUUCCACCGGCAAGUGGGCAACAAACUUCUGGACUCUGAUCUGAUCAGGUCCUAGAACUUGGAUUCAUGGCCAAGGGCUGCUUGUCAGGCAGAGAGCAGGCUGGGGGCAAGACUACUGGAAAUCACCCCAAAGGAUUAGGAUGCAUUUUUCCCCCAGAAUAAAAGCACUAGAUAUAGCCCUUCUAAAUCUUAGCCUUCCUGCCACGGCCAUCCCCCAAACAAGCAAAACAGCUAAGUAAAUAUGUACUAUGGCUGCAACCAUGCGCUCUAGCGAUAUGUGGCUGCCACGUCAGGGAGCCCAAGAGUAGGUGCAUCCAUUGCGAUCACCAUGGCUGGUGGCAACUGCCUCAGAACAGAGUUCACAUUUAAUACUGAGAAGCUAGGAAACCAUCCCUCUUGAGGGCAUUUACAUAACAUCUUACAAGUGACUAUACCUGCAGUGAAAUAUAAAAACCCAAACAACAAAAGAACCUCAAGAACAGCCUCAUGGCAGAAGCUAGACAAUAAAUAAUGGUAACCCCCCCCCCCCCC